UGGGGAAUUUUGGACAAUGGGGGAAACCCUGAUCCAGCCAUGCCGCGUGUAUGAAGAAGGCCUUAGGGUUGUAAAGUACUUUUGUCAGGGAAGAAAAGCUUAAUAUUAAUACUAUUAAGUCAUGACGGUACCUGAAGAAUAAGCACCGGCUAACUACGUGCCAGCAGCCGCGGUAAUACGUAGGGUGCGAGCGUUAAUCGGAAUUACUGGGCGUAAAGCGAGCGCAGACGGUUAUUUAAGUCAGAUGUGA
rnacentral:rRNA from 1 species